rnacentral:rRNA from 1 species
GGCGAGAGACCGAUAGCGAACAAGUACCGUGAGGGAAAGAUGAAAAGAACUUUGAAAAGAGAGUUAAACAGUACGUGAAAUUGUUGAAAGGGAAACGAUUGAAGCCAGUCGUACCUUCGGGUAAUCAGCCUUUCGGGUGCGAUUCUGUGGAGUGUGAGGAGCUUAACACCUUCAUGCUUUGCAUAUUUGUGCUCUUGGGUGUACUUGCCCGUGUGGUUGGUUAACAUCAAUUUUGAUUAUCAUAAAAUGACUGGAGGAAUGUAGCUUCGAUCUCGUAUUGAAGUGUUAUAGGCUUCGGUAGAUGUGAUGAUCGAGAUUGAGGAUUGCAACGGAUACCCUUCGGGGCUACCUGUCUGGUCUCUGAUCGUUGCUCUGGUGCCGAAAGCGUGCUUACGGUUAUCAAAGUCGAUGGUCAAUAGGUUAGAACGGGUUAAA